CCCUUAGAUGUUCUGGGCCGCACGCGUGCUACACUGAGUGGAUCAGCGGGUCAGGUUGCGCGAAAGUGUUUCCUAAUCUUGAAAUCCGCUCGUGAUGGGGAUCGACGGUUGCAAUUUUCCGUCAUGAACGAGGAAUACCUUGUAAGCGCGGGUCAUCAUCCCGCGCUGAAUACGUCCCUGCCCUUUGUACACACCGCCCGUCGCUCCUACCGAUUGAGUGGUCCGGUGAGGCUUUGGGAUCUGAGCGGAAAGAGCGUUUCGCUGUUUCUGCUCGGAAAACUCAGUCGAACCUUAUCAUUUAGAGGAAGGAGAAGUCGUAACA
rnacentral:rRNA from 1 species